rnacentral:lncRNA from 1 species
UUGUUCUGGAUGGAUUUUUGGAUGGGGAACAACUGUUAUGCCAACAGUUCCCUGAUUUGUACAUGUUAAUAACGGACAGAGUCACACAAGUCAAAACAGUUGCAGAAAAACGCUGCAGAGAUGGUUUUUCGCAAGACGGAAGCUGGAACUGCAGCAGUGGUUUCUGCUACAGAUAUGUUGGAGAUUUUAGCAGGUGUGCAGAUGCGGAAUAUUUUGGUCGCCGGAUUUAUGCAGCCGAUUUUCAGUUAAAAGCUGUUAUUUGACGCCGCACAACCUGCUAUCGGAACUUUAUUUUGAUCCAGAUUUUGUUGCGGCUGUUCAGCAAGUUUGGAACACUUUAAUUCUGUCAAAAUUACGCGUUCGGGUGGAAAACAGAGUUAGUUUAUAUGUUACAAUGGGUAAUGGAAAAGUUCUCCUAUUUAAUGUUAUAUUUCAUUUACAUUUUUUCCAUAAAUAUCUGUGAUAUAUUAUCACAAGGAGAUGCUUUACUUUCUUAUCACAGAAUACAAAAUUCGAAAUGUAAACCAAACAUUUUACCAAUAAUAAUAAAUAACAAAUAAU